rnacentral:rRNA from 1 species
AGUGAACGCUGGCGGUAGGCCUAACACAUGCAAGUCGAACGGCAGCACAGUAAGAGCUUGCUCUUACGGGUGGCGAGUGGCGGACGGGUGAGGAAUACAUCGGAAUCUACUUUUUCGUGGGGGAUAACGUAGGGAAACUUACGCUAAUACCGCAUACGACCUACGGGUGAAAGCAGGGGAUCUUCGGACCUUGCGCGAUUGAAUGAGCCGAUGUCGGAUUAGCUAGUUGGCGGGGUAAAGGCCCACCAAGGCGACGAUCCGUAGCUGGUCUGAGAGGAUGAUCAGCCACACUGAAACUGGGACACGGUCCAGACUCCUACGGGAGGCAGCAGUGGGGAAUAUUGGACAAUGGGCGCAAGCCUGAUCCAGCCAUACCGCGUGGGUGAAGAAGGCCUUCGGGUUGUAAAGCCCUUUUGUUGGGAAAGAAAAGCAGCAGGUUAAUACCCCGCUGUUCUGACGGUACCCAAAGAAUAAGCACCGGCUAACUUCG